UUUUGUAACUGAAAUUCUCAAUAGUCUAACAGGCUGUCCUUUGGGUCCUAGGCUAAUCUUCAUGACUGAGUAGCCAAGAGAAGAUCAUAUGCAGCUACAGAUUUAAUACUUGGAGAAUAACUUGUGAGUGCUACCUCCAGAAAGUGAACUGAAAAAUGGAAACUAAAAAGACAUAAUUUUUAUAUACUUCUAUAUCUGCCUCCCGGAUGAUGCCUUCUAUGAUGCAGAGAGGAAGAGAGGCUAAGACCCUUGUAAAUAAAUGCUAUUAAUAAAAAAACCCAACAUUUUAUUCAUAGUGCAUAAA